GAACGAACGAGGGAGGAAGGAAUAACAAACGCAAGUCGAACGAGACCUUCGGGUCUAGUGGCGCACGGGUGCGUAACGCGUGGGAACCUGCCCUUAGGUUCGGAAUAACUCCCCGAAAGGGGUGCUAAUACCGGAUAAUGUCUUCGGACCAAAGAUUUAUCGCCUUUGGAUGGGCCCGCGUUGGAUUAGCUAGUUGGUAGGGUAAAAGCCUACCAAGGCGACGAUCCAUAGCUGGUCUGAGAGGAUGAUCAGCCACACUGGGACUGAGACACGGCCCAGACUCCUACGGGAGGCAGCAGUGGGGAAUAUUGGACAAUGGGCGAAAGCCUGAUCCAGCAAUGCCGCGUGAGUGAUGCAGGCCUUAGGGUUGUAAAGCUCUUUUACCCGGGAUGAUAAUGACAGUACCGGGAGAAUAAGCUCCGGCUCCCUCCGUU
rnacentral:rRNA from 1 species